rnacentral:rRNA from 1 species
GACGUAGGGCGCGAGCGUUGCCCGGAUUUAUUGGGCGUAAAGAGCUCGUAGGCGGCUUGUCGCGUCGUUCGUGAAAACUUGGGGCUCAACCCCAAGCUUGCGGUCGAUACGGGCAGGCUAGAGUUCGGUAGGGGAGACUGGAAUUCCUGGUGUAGCGGUGAAAUGCGCAGAUAUCAGGAGGAACACCGGUGGCGAAGGCGGAUCUCUGGGCCUUACCUGACGCUCAGGUGCGAAAGCUAGGGGAGCGAACAGG